GCGUCGGUAGUUCAACGGUGAGAUUAGCUGUUUCCGAAAAAGUUGACCCGACUUCGACUCCCGGCCGACGCA